ACGCUGGCGGCAGGCCUAACACAUGCAAGUCGAGCGGUAGCACAGAGAGCUUGCUCUCGGGUGACGAGCGGCGGACGGGUGAGUAAUGUCUGGGAAACUGCCUGAUGGAGGGGGAUAACUACUGGAAACGGUAGCUAAUACCGCAUAACGUCGCAAGACCAAAGUGGGGGACCUUCGGGCCUCAUGCCAUCAGAUGUGCCCAGAUGGGAUUAGCUAGUAGGUGGGGUAAUGGCUCACCUAGGCGACGAUCCCUAGCUGGUCUGAGAGGAUGACCAGCCACACUGGAACUGAGACACGGUCCAGACUCCUACGGGAGGCAGCAGUGGGGAAUAUUGCACAAUGGGCGCAAGCCUGAUGCAGCCAUGCCGCGUGUAUGAAGAAGGCCUUCGGGUUGUAAAGUACUUUCAGCGAGGAGGAAGGCGUUAAGGUUAAUAACCUUGGCGAUUGACGUUACUCGCAGAAGAAGCACCGGCUAACUCCGUGCCAGCAGCCGCGGUAAUACGGAGGGUGCAAGCGUUAAUCGGAAUUACUGGGCGUAAAGCGCACGCAGGCGGUCUGUCAAGUCGGAUGUGAAAUCCCCGGGCUCAACCUGGGAACUGCAUUCGAAACUGGCAGGCUAGAGUCUUGUAGAGGGGGGUAGAAUUCCAGGUGUAGCGGUGAAAUGCGUAGAGAUCUGGAGGAAUACCGGUGGCGAAGGCGGCCCCCUGGACAAAGACUGACGCUCAGGUGCGAAAGCGUGGGGAGCAAACAGGAUUAGAUACCCUGGUAGUCCACGCCGUAAACGAUGUCGACUUGGAGGUUGUGCCCUUGAGGCGUGGCUUCCGGAGCUAACGCGUUAAGUCGACCGCCUGGGGAGUACGGCCGCAAGGUUAAAACUCAAAUGAAUUGACGGGGGCCCGCACAAGCGGUGGAGCAUGUGGUUUAAUUCGAUGCAACGCGAAGAACCUUACCUACUCUUGACAUCCAGAGAACUUAGCAGAGAUGCUUUGGUGCCUUCGGGAACUCUGAGACAGGUGCUGCAUGGCUGUCGUCAGCUCGUGUUGUGAAAUGUUGGGUUAAGUCCCGCAACGAGCGCAACCCUUAUCCUUUGUUGCCAGCGGUCCGGCCGGGAACUCAAAGGAGACUGCCAGUGAUAAACUGGAGGAAGGUGGGGAUGACGUCAAGUCAUCAUGGCCCUUACGAGUAGGGCUACACACGUGCUACAAUGGCAUAUACAAAGAGAAGCGACCUCGCGAGAGCAAGCGGACCUCAUAAAGUAUGUCGUAGUCCGGAUUGGAGUCUGCAACUCGACUCCAUGAAGUCGGAAUCGCUAGUAAUCGUAGAUCAGAAUGCUACGGUGAAUACGUUCCCGGGCCUUGUACACACCGCCCGUCACACCAUGGGAGUGGGUUGCAAAAGAAGUAGGUAGCUUAACCUUCGGGAGGNCGCUUUACC
rnacentral:rRNA from 1 species